rnacentral:rRNA from 1 species
GACGAACGCUGGCGGCGUGCUUAACACAUGCAAGUCGAACGGUAAGGCCCCAGCUUUCUGGGGCACACGAGUGGCGAACGGGGGAGUAACACGUGGGUGACCUGCCCCGCACUUCGGGGGAAGCCUGGGAAACUGCGUCUAAUACCGGAGACGACCGCACCAAGAGGGUGUGGUGGAAAUGUUUUCGGGGUGUGAUGGGACCGCGGCCUAUCAGCUUGUUGGUGGGGUAAUGGCCUACCAAGGCGGCGACGGGUAGCCGGCCUGAGAGGGUGGACGGCCACAUUGGGACUGAGGCACGGCCCAGAAUCCUACGGGAGGCAGCAGUUGGGAACAUUGCACAAUGGGCGGAAGCGUGAUGCAGAGACGCCGGGUGGGGGAUAACGGCCUUCGGGUUGUAAACACCUUUCACCGUAGACGAAGGUUUUCUGACGGUAGAUGGAGAAGAAGCAACGGCUAACUACGUG